GGGGGCGAAACGGUUUCGACGGGGAUGUGUAAGCUCGUCGUUGCAUGCCGAGCGUUCUAUUAGCUCGUAAAUACAAUAGAGCCUAAAUAUAAUCGCAGACGAUUAUAACUACGCAGUAGCAGCUUAAUACCUGUCAUACUGCCGUUCCACCAGUUUUUGCCUGUAAGACUGGAACUGGAACGUCGACUCAACAGGCUGGCCCACUGACGGUGUCUGUACGUCGGUAGGUGAGAUUUUCGCAGAAUAGCACCAGGUCCGCUCUGUUCCCGCGGCAUACCCGGUGCGAACCUUCAAGACGGGAACUAAGCAUGUAGAUACGAGAGGGGAGCAUUUGCGGACGCGGGUUCGACUCCCGCCGCCUCCACCA
rnacentral:tmRNA from 1 species